UACGAAGGGGGCUAGCGUUGUUCGGAAUUACUGGGCGUAAAGCGCGCGUAGGCGGUAAACCAUGUCAGGGGUGAAAUCCCGGGGCUCAACUCCGGAAUUGCCUUUGAAACGGGUUUGCUAGAGUCCGAGAGAGGAUGGCGGAAUUCCUAGUGUAGAGGUGAAAUUCGUAGAUAUUAGGAAGAACACCGAUGGCGAAGGCAGCCAUCUGGACCGACACUGACGCUGAGGCGCGAAAGCGUGGGGAGCAAACAGG
rnacentral:rRNA from 1 species